UAUGGCUCAGAACGAACGCUGGCGGCGUGCUUAACACAUGCAAGUCGAACGCGAAAGGGACUUCGGUCCUGAGUAAAGUGGCGCACGGGUGAGUAACGCGUAGAUAACCUGUCUUCAUGUCUGGAAUAAUACGCCGAAAGGGGUACUAAUACCGGAUAUUCUUGCUUUUCAUAAGUUAUGCAAGCAAAGGUGGCCUCUGCAUAUGCUACUGCAUGAAGAGGGGUCUGCGUACCAUUAGCUAGUAGGUGGGGUAAUGGCCUACCUAGGCGACGAUGGUUAGCGGGUCUGAGAGGAUGAUCCGCCACACUGGCACUGGAACACGGGCCAGACUCCUACGGGAGGCAGCAGUGGGGAAUAUUGCGCAAUGGGGGAAACCCUGACGCAGCGACGCCGCGUGAAGUGAGGAAGGCCUUCGGGUCGUAAAGCUCUGUCAAGAGGAAAGAAGUGUACAAUGGCUAAUACCUGUUGUAUUUGACGGUACCUCUAAAGGAAGCACCGGCUAACUCCGUGCCAGCCGCUGC
rnacentral:rRNA from 1 species